rnacentral:rRNA from 1 species
UACAGGAGGUCCCAAGCGUUUGUUCGGAUUCACUGGGCGUAAAGGGUGCGUAGGUGGUGAGGUAAGUCGGAUGUGAAAGCCUCGGAGGCUCAACUCCGAAAUGGCAUUGGAAACUACCUUGCUCGAGGGUUGGAGGGGGGACGUGGAAUUCUCGGUGUAGCAGUGAAAUGCGUAGAUAUCGAGAGGAACACCAGUGGCGAAGGCGAGUCCCUGGACAACUCCUGACACUGAGGCACGAAAGCUAGGGGAGCAAACAGGA